rnacentral:rRNA from 1 species
GGAGCGAGUAGCUGCCUACCAUGCAUGUCGAACGCGUGUAGCAAUACACGAGUGGCGGACGGGUGAGUAACGCGUGCCUACCUGCCCAGUGGUAGGGAAUAACUGCGGGAAACUGCAGCUAAUACCCUAUGAGCCCUACGGGGGAAAGAUUUAUCGCCAUUGGAGGGGCCCGCGUCGGAUUGGCUAGUUGGUAGGGUAACGGCCUACCAAGGCAACGAUCCGUAGCUGGUCUGAGAGGAUGAUCAGCCACACUGGGACUGAGAUACGGCCCAGACUCCUACGGGAGGCAGCAGUGGGGAAUAUUGGACAAUGGGGGAAACCCUGAUCCAGCAAUGCCGCGUGAGUGAAGAAGGCCUUAGGGUUGUAAAGCUCUUUCGGCGGGGACGAUGAUGACGGUACCCGCAGAAGAAGCCCCGGCUAACUUCGUGCCAGCAGCCGCGGUAAUACGAAGGGGGCUAGCGUUGUUCGGAAUCACUGGGCGUAAAGGGCGCGUAGGCGGCUCGACAAGUCAGGUGUGAAAGCCCCGGGCUCAACCCGGGAAUUGCACUUGAUACUGUCUCGCUAGAGUCCGGGAGAGGAUGGCGGAACUCCCAGUGUAGAGGUGAAAUUCGUAGAUAUUGGGAAGAACACCGGUGGCGAAGGCGGCCAUCUGGACCGGUACUGACGCUGCGGCGCGAAAGCGUGGGGAGCAAACAGGAUUAGAUACCCUGGUAGUCCACGCCGUAAACGAUGAGUGCUAGACGUCGGGGGGUUCACCCUCCGGUGUCGCAGCUAACGCUUUAAGCACUCCGCCUGGGGAGUACGGUCGCAAGAUUAAAACUCAAAGGAAUUGACGGGG